UACGUAGGUGGCAAGCGUUGUCCGGAAUUACUGGGUGUAAAGCGCGUGUAGGCGGCAGACCAAGUCGGCGGUGAAAGCGCCCGGCUCAACUGGGCGAGGUCCGUGGAAACUGGUCAGCUGGAGGACGGUAGAGGCGAGUGGAAUUCCCGGUGUAGAGGUGAAAUUCGUAGAUAUUGGGAAGAACACCGGUGGCGAAGGCGGCGCUCUGGACCGAGACUGACGCUGAGGCGCGAAAGCGUGGGGAGCAAACAGG
rnacentral:rRNA from 1 species